rnacentral:rRNA from 1 species
UACGUAGGGGGCAAGCGUUAUCCGGAUUUACUGGGUGUAAAGGGAGCGUAGACGGCAGCGCAAGUCUGGAGUGAAAUCCCAUGGCUUAACCAUGGAACUGCUUUGGAAACUGUGCAGCUGGAGUGCAGGAGAGGUAGGUGGAAUUCUUGGUGUAGGGGUAAAAUCCGUAGAUAUCAAGAGGAAUACUCAUUGCGAAGGCGACCUACUGGAACAUUACUGACGCUCAUGCACGAAAGCGUGGGGAGCAAACAGG